GGGGGGGGGGCAAGCGUUGUUCGGAAUUACUGGGCGUAAAGGGCGCGCAGGCGGCCUGGCCAGUCCUACGUGAAAUCCCACAGCUCAACUGUGGAACUGCGUGGGAUACUGCCCAGGCUUGAGUCCGGGAGAGGAGAGUGGAAUUCCCAGUGUAGCGGUGAAAUGCGUAGAUAUUGGGAGGAACACCGGUGGCGAAGGCGGCUCUCUGGACCGGUACUGACGCUGAGGCGCGAAAGCUAGGGGAGCAAACGGGAUUAGAUACCCCGGUAGUCCUAGCCGUAAACUUUGAGCACUUGGUGUGGCGGGUAUCGACCCCUGCCGUGCCGAAGCUAACGCAUUAAGUGCUCCGCCUGGGGAGUACGGUCGCAAAGGCUG
rnacentral:rRNA from 1 species